GUUAAAAUUUUAUAAUGGUUUGUUUAUGGUCAAUUGGGUGUUAUUUAUUUUUUAUUCAUUUUGUGGACAAUGAGUGUCGAUCCUGCUUUUUUUCAUUUGUAGUUUUUGAGUACCAGAAUAAUCGGAUAGACUUAAAAAAUUAGAACUUUAAUUGAGGUAAAUAGAAGUUUGGUUUUGUUUUAUUUGUGUUUUUUUUGUAAAAUGUUGAGCUGUUUUGUUUUUUGAUUUUUAUUUUAAAUGAUAUAGAAUGAACCGGAGUAGUACCCGGGUAAUUUUUGGUAAUUAGAGCAGAAGUAUAAUGGUAUUGAAACUGAAAUUAUUUUUGGGAGACUCUAAAUUUAUUUUUGAAGGUUGACGAGUAAUUGAGAACCCUCAUUUUAAACCAGUGUUUUUUUGGUAUGUAUGAUCGUUUAUUUUGCUAUUGAGUAGUUGAAAAGAAAAAUUUUGAUUUAUAAAAAUAGAUAGAUACCUACUGUAUGCAUUGGAUUUUGUUGACCUACAUUAUUUUGAUAUGUGGAUUUUCUUGAGUUAUUGGGGAAUGAAAAUGGAAAAGACAGUAAAUUAGUCUUAAUGUCUAAUUGAAGAUUAUUUUAGAGUGGCACAAAUCAUCCAUCAAUUGCUUAAAGAGUAGUAAGUUGUAGUAAAGUGGGGGUAGGGGAACCUGUUCCGAGU
rnacentral:ncRNA from 1 species